rnacentral:rRNA from 1 species
UGGGGAAUAUUGGACAAUGGGCGAAAGCCUGAUCCAGCCAUGCCGCGUGUGUGAAGAAGGUCUUCGGAUUGUAAAGCACUUUAAGUUGGGAGGAAGGGCAUUAACCUAAUACGUUAGUGUUUUGACGUUACCGACAGAAUAAGCACCGGCUAACUCUGUGCCAGCAGCCGCGGUAAUACAGAGGGUGCAAGCGUUAAUCGGAAUUACUGGGCGUAAAGCGCGCGUAGGUGGUUUGUUAAGUUGGAUGUGAAAUCCCCUGGCUCAACCUGGGAACUGCAUUCAAAACUGACUGACUAGAGUAUGGUAGAGGGUGGUGGAAUUUCCUGUGUAGCGGUGAAAUGCGUAGAUAUAGGAAGGAACACCAGUGGCGAAGGCGACCACCUGGACUAAUACUGACACUGAGGUGCGAAAGCGUGGGGAGCAAACA